GCUUAGACCUGGAUUGAGAGAUUUGAGAGACAGAGAGAGCGAGCGUCUGGUUGGGAAUCGCGAUCGUCCCACCAGCCGGCCCCAGACACACACAGAGUCCCCCCAGACUCAGAGACAGAGACGACCGGAAGAAGAAGACGACGAUCGGACGGUUGAGGCGUUGUGGAAAUGACGUCAUCAUCGGGCGGUGGAAGGUAUAUGUCGUACUCGCCGUCGCCGUCGGCACCUCACUCUCCUCACCUCUCCGGCCUUCGCUCCGCCUCAUCCGUAGCUCUCGUCGCCGCCGAGCAAGAAAAAUAUCUAUCUGAGUUACUUGCGGAGCGCCACAAACUCGGUCCAUUUUUGCCUUUGCUACCGCAUUGCUGCAGGUUAAUAAACCAAGAAAUAUUGCGUGUAACUACACUGUUGGGGAAUGCAUCAGUUUUAGGUCAAAGUGGGCUUGAACAUGCUAGCCCCCUGGCUUCUGGAGGAAUGUUUUCAAAUGGAGGUGCUGAUGUGAACGGAUGGGCUUCACGGUUUCAAUCAGAAGUUUUAACGUACUUGGAUUCCACUGCUCAGAUGUCAGGUUUAUUACAGCCUUCACCAACACAAAACUGGCUUAAUUCUCCAAGUAGCUCAUCUGGUCUAAUUGUUAAGCGAACAAUCCGAGUGGAUAUUCCAGUGGACAAAUAUCCUAAUUAUAACUUUGUUGGACGGUUGUUGGGCCCUAGGGGGAACUCUCUUAAACGAGUGGAAGCAACUACUGAGUGCCGUGUUCUGAUUAGGGGCCGUGGUAGCAUAAAGGAUCCGACGAGGGUAAUAAUGAGACUUUUCUUCUUUGAUGAUUGCACUGAUUUCACAUUCAUGCAUACCAAAAGAAGAAAUGAUGAGAGGAAAGCCAGGGUAUGAACAUUUGAACGAGCCUCUUCAUAUUCUGGUGGAGGCAGAACUACCAGUUGAAAUUAUUGAUGCUCGUUUAUCACAAGCACGUGAGGUACUUGAAGAUUUACUCAGGCCUGUGGAUGAGUCUCAGGAUUUCUACAAGAAACAGCAGCUGCGAGAGUUGGCAAUGCUCAAUGGUACACUUCGUGAAGAGGGUUCUCCAAUGUCUGGUUCUGUGUCACCCUUCCACAACAGUCUUGGUAUGAAGAGGGCCAAAACCAGGGGGUAGUGGAUGCUCUUCUUGGAGGGCUCUCGGAGCUUGUUUGUUAAUUUCUGCCACUAAACAGCAGUUUCCACGCCACAGGUGUUGCUGUGUCAGCCAAUCCAACAACUGCCAUCGGGGCACUGGCAACACCAUUGUGUGCCAGUUCUAACUUGUUUCUAUAUCAAGUGUGUGUACCUACUGGUCGGGGGGAGGUUGACGUAUCGCAUAAACAGGGACAGUUUGAUUUCGGGGGGUUUGCUUUUGUAUGUUGCAUUAGACAGUUUGGUCAGAGCAUUUGCUCUCCAAGCCGGUCCUUAUACUAUUAUAAGCAUGUGAUGACAGUUUUGUUACCGUCUUGGGGUUUCUGUGAGUAAGCUAUGGCAUGGUAUGUAUACGAAUAGUGAGGCAAACAUAUGAUCUACCCGAAGCAUGUUGUCUGGGUUGGAGUAUGUUGUACCAUCUAGAUUGAAUUGGACUUGUUAAAAGAAUUCUUUGUUUUGUUCUAGAGAGUCACUUUUCAUGUUAUUUGUUGCUUCUUGCUCUAACAUUUCUGGUUGUC